UCGGAAGUUCAAGUCUUCCCAGGCCCACCACUUUCCGGCGUCGUCGCUUCGGCUGGGCAAGUCGAUCGUCUCGACGAUCUCUUAGCUUUGCAUUCGUCUUUCCGGUUAUGGGGCCUUAGCUCAGCUGGGAGAGCGCGUGCUUUGCAAGCAUGAGGUCGUCGGUUCGAUCCCGACAGGCUCCACCAGCCUUUGCGCCGAAAGGCGCUUCGGCGUGGCCAUGCCGAUCGACGAACCAUUCGUCCGCGAAACAUCACUUUGCACACGCUGCUCAUUGAGCGCGUGAUGCGGGUUAUUCGACAUCGUGAAGAGGAGAUCGAUCCGAGUUGGGGUCGUGCAAUGGAGCGCCACCGCGCAAGCGGUCCGCGUUUCGACUAUGCACCGACGCCUUCACUAUCUCCGGGUCAUUUCGGCGCAAGGUUCGAGCUGUGAAGCUUGCUCCUUGUUGUAAAUGACCCUGUUAGCUGCGCUUGACCGCACGGCUAUCGGUUCGAUCUUACGAAGCAAGCUGGUCUUUCUAAUCAAUGUCCGGCUGCCUUUGACGCUUGUCCUUCGGGGCAGGUGAGGGCGGCCAACAUUCUGCCGAGUGUGUGGACAUUGAUAAUGAGAGCAAUCAAGUGCCUUAAGGGUGUUCGGUGGAUGCCUUGGCGCUGAGAGGCGAUGAAGGACGUGCUACGCUGCGAUAAGCCGUGGGGAGCUGCGAAGAAGCUUUGAUCCGCGGAUUUCCGAAUGGG
rnacentral:misc_RNA from 1 species